AUCCCCUCCGCGCUCUGCUCUCCCGUGUUAAAACUUUCCUUAAAAAAAGGAGGUGGAUCUUUUUAACAUCCUAGACGGAUCUCCCGACACCCGAUUAUUAAAAAAACAACCUACUAUUGUUUCCCGUGGAACUUUAAGAAGGAUCUAUUGUCAUUUUGCCUUCCGCUUUGGUGCAGGACGCGUCUCGGUGCGCACCGGACCGAAAUGGACCGCAGAACGUGUCCGGCGCGUCCGCUCUGCUCCCCUGCAUCUGUCUCCGAGACAAUUUGAAAGAAACCAAGACACUCCACUGAUCGUUUUCUCUUCUCCUCUUCCGAAACAGAAGCGGAGAUUCAUUCCUCUUUCCUCAUCCCGAAGAGAGGACAUGGACAUACUGUAGCCAGCGCAGACAGAGCAGGAGGAUGUAGCUAUGAGAAGAGAAGAGAAGAGGGACAUCACAAACUGCACGGACGCAAAAGGAACAAUCGGAUGGCAUCACCGACUUAAAAGCAUACGUCAGAAGUUGAGCGCCUCAAGUCUGAAGAAAUUCUCAACAACGUGCGUGUGAAUGCACCAAAACACAGCGGCAGCUCAUCCGAGGGGGUUCAAAUCAGCAUUCGGCAAGGGCAGAUGGAUGAUGCUGAUCCCUCGCUCCGGAGGUGUGGAGUGACAGAUGACAGAGGGAUUGAUACAGCGGGAGAGAGAGAGAAAGAGAGCGGUAACGUCGGAAAGGGCCGCCACCGCCACCGGUAAUGAAAAAAACGGCUGCAAAGGUCGGGCCCAUCGAUCGGGAGGCGAGAAGAAGUAAGUGACCAGAUUUACUGAUACUGCAAUGACAGACUUUCUGACUCACUCCUCUUUCUC